rnacentral:rRNA from 1 species
UACGGGGGGGGCAAGCGUUGUUCGGAAUUACUGGGCGUAAAGGGCUCGUAGGUGGCCAACUAAGUCAGACGUGAAAUCCCCAGGCUUAACCUGGGAACUGCGUCUGAUACUGGAUGGCUUGAAUUCGGGAGAGGGAUGCAGAAUUCCAGGUGUAGCGGUGAAAUGCGUAGAUAUCUGGAGGAACACCGGUGGCGAAGGCGGCAUCCUGGACCGAGAUUGACGCUGAUGCGCGAAAGCCAGGGGAGCAAACGGG